AAACGACCAGACGCCAAAACGUCGCAAAUUGAGAACUUAUAUUAGGCUACGACUUUGAUGGCUUCCAGUUUUCUUUUCAGCGUCCUCCUCGUACUCGUUUUCUCUGUAACUUCGAGUAAGACUUCAAAAUGCUACUUUCACUUGUUUCAUAUGUCGCCAACUACUUGCAAACAUUUGUUUUGCUUUCUCUUUGUUUAGAAGAUAUGAUGAUGAAUCAUAUGUUAUGGAUACAGCAAUGAUUACCAAUGAUGGAUGUUGAUUGUAAAUCAUAUGUAAUGGCUAUUUGUCUACUUCAUGAGUUAAAAAUAUAAAUUUUCCCUAAUCUUUAUUAUGAUCUAGUCAAACGCAGACAGCCUAAAGCUAUUAUAAAAGGAAACAAUAGACAGCCUACCGCUCGGUCCACAACGCACAUCUACACUAUCUGAGUAUAAAUAAUUACAAGUUGAUUAAUAAAAUAACUGACCAGACGCCAAAUAUGCUCAUAGAGAAAUGACUAUAUAUAACCAAAGUCUUCUUCCAUAUCUCUUCGUAUAUUUUCCACAUUGGCAAAACACAACUCUAAUGGCUUACAAUCUUCUUAUUACCGUGCUCCUCGUACUCGCUUCCCUCUCUCUAGCGUCCUGUUAUUCUCAUCCCACAAGAGAUGUCCUGUUUAAACAAGACGAUGUUGAAUCAUAUUCUAUGACCACGAGUCAGCAAGGAUCAUCGAUGCUUGAUGUUGAAGGUCUAGUGAAAGCUAGAAGUCUUCAAGUUCUAUUCGCUGGCUCAAAAGUGGCUGUGAAAGCUUCCAAGAGUAGUGGUUCAAAGAAGAGAAAACAUAAGAGUAAAGUAGGAUCACUGGAUGUUUCAGCCGUGGUUGGAAUCAUAAUCGCAGCAAUUGUGGUUACUAUUAUCAUCAUCUGUGUUAUAUACUUUUUCUAUGUGAAGCACAAAACAAAAAAGGCUCAAAGUCUUGGACAAGAGAAAACAAAUGCAUCAUCCGAAAAUCAGACUUCCAAAACAGAGGAUAUUAUUGUCUAAACGAACUUCAUGAUCGCUAUCAUCUUCGGUGGAACUACAUAUUUUUUUUCUUUGAACUUUUUGUUAGAUAACACGAUCACUAUGUUAAAAAAUAUUCAUGUGUAAUGGCAUUUGCAAAUGAUUGAAUUAUUUUUUACUCUUCUUUUUUUCUUAUGCAUAUCAACUUCAUGAAUCUUGGUUUUAAACGUAUGAGUUUUUAAACUCAACAAUACUGAUUUACAAAAAAUAAAAUAUAGUAAGUUUGAUAGUGAAAUUGAUCUAAAGAGUAUCAACUUAAAUAUGUACAUAUAAAUUUUCAAGAGCAUCCAACUAAAUUAUAUAUAUAUAUAUAUAUUAAAUUUUUAAUAUUCCGAAUUACAUUUAAUUUUUUAUUGCACAUACAAGACAAAACCUCUAUCAUUUCUUGACAAAAAGAGUGAAUAACAAUUGUUUCUGAUUAUUUUUUAAAAUAUUUUGUUAGCGCCAAUAUAACUUCAAAUUUAAAUUUUACAAAGCGACAAGACUAUUAAGAACUUACUUAUUUACUAACAACCCUAAAAUUAAAUAAUCAGCUAUAUAGGGACGAAGACAUCAUUUUAAACUGUUUUUCUAACGCUGGUCCGGAAUAAAAUAGACAAAAUCGGGGAAAAAAAUUAUUUUCGGAUAUCUCCUCCACCUUUCUGAUCCUUCUUGAGCCUCUUCAGUUAGGCACUCCCCUUCAUCUUCUUAAUGUAUUACUGCCUCAUUAUCUUCUAGAGUAUAAUACUCUUUUAUCAUUCCUCUGACUAGUGUUUUAACUCGAAUGAUAUUCUUAAUCAUCAGUAAACGGAUUGACCUCGAGUUUAUUCAAACGGUUCAGGGAGAACGUUUACAGAGAAAACAAAUGGAUCAUCGGAAAACCAGACUUCCAAAACAGAGGAUAUUGUCUAAAAAGAACGUCAUGAUCGCUGUCAUCACUUCCGGUGGAACUUUUUUUUUUCUGUGAUUUUGUUUUUUAGAUAACUUGAUUUAAUGGCUACAUUCAAAAAUAUUUAUGUAAUGGCAAUUCGAAAUGAUUGAAUUAUUUUUUCUUAUGCAUAUCUUUUUUUUUUGGGCAACUUUCUUAUGCAUAUGUUAGGAAUAACAAACACACACACAUAUAUAUAUGUACACUAAAUUUAUAAUAUCCCGAAUUACAUUUUCAUGAGAAUAAUCUAUUGCACACAAAAGACAACAUCUAUCACUUCUUGAUAAAAAAAGUGAAUAUAAAUUGUUUCUUCGUUAUAUUUAAAAUUAUUUUGUUUUCAGUAGCGCCAAAUAUAACUUCAUAUUUUAAAUUUAAAAAAAAACUAAUGCUAUAUUAGAUUUAAAUUUACAAAAAAAGCAACAAGAGACUAGAACAUGAAACCCACAAGCUUCAAAUUAUCAAAAACCCUAAUUUUCUCUAGCCGUCACACCUAAACCCCUCUGAUCUGAUCCUCGUUUCUUCCCCCGGUUGCGCUUGUCGCUUAUGCCGGGGGAGAUUUCUUUUCUCUUUUAGCUUUCUCAUCAUUUUUCUCUUUUUUGUUGCUUAGUUUUCUGUUUUUUUUUUACAUAUCUCAUCAUCAGUUAUGCCAGGUUGUUCUAUAGUGUGUUUCUGAAGCGGUCUUAAAGGUUAUGAUGGCUCUUCUUCACUUCCAACUUGUAUUUUCUGUAUUGGAGUUGCACUUCAUAUAAAGAAGCAGUGGUGGUGGUGAUAGCAGUUUGAGGAGUUCAGUGGUAUUAGUUGUGGUUGGUGUGAACUCAACCUCCUUUUCAAUGAUUCUUUUUGGUGUAUGUGUAUUGUAACGGGGUCUGGUUGUAUUAUGGAUUGGAAGUUCAACGGUCAGGUUCUUGGUUGGACUUAUGCCGGAGCCGAAGAUCACAGUGUUUUCUUCUCACUAGAGACACAACAAUGCAUUUAUCUAUUUGGUGUUCCUUUCAAUUUCAAGAUAUGUUCUGCAGCUGUGUGGUUAUUUUCUUUGGAAAUUUAUCUUUACCAUAGCCCCUAAUGGUGUGCGUGGACCUGUUUAGUUUCUAAUCUAUUGCGUCCGUCUAUACCUUCAUGGUAAAUGGUUAUGUGGGAUGUCCUGAACAAUCCGCAUUGGUUUUUGGGACUGUCCAAUACUAUUGAGUGUACGUGGCUGCAACUAGAGUAGCUACUGAGAUCGCUGUUAGUAUCAUUAAGGAUGAACCGGUUCAAUCCUAUGUAGCUCGUGGAGGUCUAAGUUCGGCUUACUGAUAUCAUUUGUGCUGAUGCCGUCUCCUCUGCAUCUACAUACUCGAGAUGAGCCUGCAACGGCUUCACCUAAUGGAAUAUGAAACCAUUUAUAUCUUUAAAAACUAUUUCCCCUUUGUAGGGUUUUCUUCGUUUAAGCACCUAUUGGUGAUGUAUGUCUUUUAUCUUUGCUUGUC